rnacentral:tRNA from 1 species
GGGAAUGUGGCUUUGUGGUAGAGUGCUUGCCUAGCAUGCAUGAAGCCCUGGGUUCAAUUCCUCAGUACCG